rnacentral:rRNA from 1 species
GACGAACGCUGGCGGCGUGCCUAACACAUGCAAGUCGAGCGAGAAACUUCGGUUUCUAGCGGCGGACGGGUGAGUAACACGUGGGUAACCUGCCUCAAAGAGGGGGAUAGCCUCCCGAAAGGGAGAUUAAUACCGCAUAAUAUCAGGAUCUCGCAUGGGAACUUGAUUAAAGGAGCAAUCCGCUUUGAGAUGGACCCGCGGCGCAUUAGCUAGUUGGUGAGGUAACGGCUCACCAAGGCGACGAUGCGUAGCCGACCUGAGAGGGUGAUCGGCCACAUUGGAACUGAUACACGGUCCAGACCCCUACGGGAGGCAGCGGUGAGGAAUAGUGCACAAUGGUCGAAAGCCUGAUGCAGCAACGCCGCGUGAGUGAUGAAGGCCUUCGGGUUGUAAAACUCUGUCUUCUGGGACGAUAAUGACGGUACCAGAGGAGGAAGCCACGGCUAACUACGUGCCAGCCGCCGCAGUAAAAC